UGGGCAACCUGCCCCUCNNCNGGGGAUAACCCCCGGGGAAACCGGAGCUAAUACCCGGAUAC
rnacentral:rRNA from 1 species